rnacentral:lncRNA from 10 species
AAAGAAAGUAGGAUCGGCCCGGGAGAAGGGCAGGGAGGAGGCCCGCGGAGGCUUGGCGAGGAGACCUGGGUGCCAGGAGACGGCGGAGCUCCCCGAGCUCUGGCUUUACCAGGUCAAGGCCCCUGUCACGAGGCGCGCGCCCUCAGGAGGCGACAGGGGGGCGACCCCCGCUAUGGCUUCAGGGCCCCACCCGGAGGCGAACAUUCCCGGCUCUGGACGAGCACGGCACGCAGGACCCGGAACCCAGGGUCCCGGGCGCACCCGCCUCGCGGUCCCCUUCCGCAUGUCCGCGCCCCCUCGCUCCAGGCCCAGGGUCGGCCAGGAGGGAACCCCGGCCGCAGGCUCAGGGAGGCUUGGGGCCGGGGACGGACGGCGCCGUGGGGCCCGGCGGCCAGCGGCCAGGGCGACUGUCCCACGCGCGGCUGCUUUCCGGGACUUGAGCUGGAAGAAAAAAAUACGGACUCCUUAGAGGCCAAAUAGGAAAAAGAAUAAGCAGGUGGCCACAUGAAAGGACAGGAGGGAGGCCUCCAGGAGCUAAAUGUGGCCCCCAGCUGAAGCCCAGCCUGCAACCACAAGGAACUGGAUUCUGCCAGCAACCUGAAUGCACUUAGAAGCGGUUUCUCUCUGGAGCCUCCUGAUAGGAGCCCAGCCAGCCAACACCUUGAUUUUGGCCUUGUGAGACCUAGAGCAGAGAAACCUUCUAAGCCAUUCGUGACUUCUGACCUUCAGGACUAUGAUGAUAAAUGUGUGUUAUUUUGAGCUGUUAAUUUGUGAUAAUUUGUUGUAGCAGCAGUUGAAAACUUGAAGCUUAGUCUGCAGAAAGUCUAAGGAUGGAUAAAAAUGAAUGAAGACCCUCAAAGCCGUGCCCCCACCUUAUUAUUCUCCUCUGGGUUCUCCUAACCCUAAUUCUAACCCUAUCUUCUUUUUUUUUUUUUAUACUUUAAGUUCUAGGGUAUGUGAUCACAACUUGCAGGUUUGUUACAUAUGUAUACACGUGCGAUGUUGGUGUGCUGCACCCAUUAACUCGUCAUUUACAUUAGGUAUAUCACCUAAUGCUAUCCCUCCCCUCUCCCCACCAACCCCACAAUAGGCCCCAGUGUGUGAUGUUCCCCUUCCUGUGUCCAAGUGUUCUCAUUGUUCAAUUCCCACCUAUAAGUGAGAACAUGCGGUGUUUGGUUUUUUGUCCUUGUGAUAGUUUGUUGAGAAUGAUGGUUUCCAGUUUCAUCCAUGUCCCUACAAAGGACAUGAACUCAUCCUUUUUUAUGGCUGCAUAGUAUUCCAUGGUGUAUAUGUGCCACAUUUUCUUAAUCCAGUCUAUCAUUGAUGGACAUUUGGGUUGAUUCCAAGUCUUUGCUGUUGUGAAUAGUGCUGCAAUAAACGUAUGUGUGCAUAUGUCUUUAUAGCAGCAUGAUUUAUAAUCCUUUGGGUAUAUACCCAGUAAUGGGAUUGCUGGGUCAAAUGAUAUUUCUAGUUCUAGAUCCUUGAGAAAUAGCCACACUGUCUUCCACAAUGGUUGAACUAGUUUAUAGACCCACCAACAGUGUAAAGGUGUUCCUAUUUCUCCACAUCCUCUCCAGCACCUGUUGUUUCCUGACUUUUUAAUGAUCGCCA